AUUGAACGCUGGCGGCAUGCUCUACACAUGCAAGUCGAACGGUAACAGGUUAAGCUGACGAGUGGCGAACGGGUGAGUAAUGCAUCGGAACGUGCCCGAUCGUGGGGGAUAACGCAGCGAAAGCUGCGCUAAUACCGCAUACGAUCUGAGGAUGAAAGCGGGGGACCGUAAGGCCUCGCGCGAUCGGAGCGGCCGAUGUCAGAUUAGGUAGUUGGUGGGGUAAAGGCUCACCAAGCCGACGAUCUGUAGCUGGUCUGAGAGGACGACCAGCCACACUGGGACUGAGACACGGCCCAGACUCCUACGGGAGGCAGCAGUGGGGAAUUUUGGACAAUGGGCGAAAGCCUGAUCCAGCAAUGCCGCGUGCAGGAAGAAGGCCUUCGGGUUGUAAACUGCUUUUGUACGGAGCGAAAAGGCUCUCUCUAAUACAGGGGGCUCAUGACGGUACCGUAAGAAUAAGCACCGGCUAACUACGUGCCAGCCGCCGCGGUAAGAC
rnacentral:rRNA from 1 species